AACAAGAAGAGCUUUUUAUGAAGAAUAACUUUUAUUUGUCAAAUUAAAAAUAAAAGAGUUAUAAAUGAAAAUGUUCUUGGUAUCCAUAAUUUGAGAAAAAUCUUCAAAUAUUUUUUCCAUUAGAAGGAUGUACAGAGACACAAUACUGGCUAGUGAUUUUAGUCAAUAAUUUUGACAAUUCGACAAAAAAAUAAUUUCUAAAUAGUUAAUAAUUAUUACUAAAUAAUUAGUAAUUUUGCCAAUUUCGGCAAAAUUCUCAAAAAACAAAAAAAUUACCUUCUACAAUCACUAGCCAGUUGUGUCGAGUUUAGGGAACGACUAGGUAUUGGGAUAAACCGUAAUCGUACCCCUUCCUAACUGCCAAAGUGUCAUGGCCGCCGUCGGGACCUAUUGUGCUGACAUUUACAAUGUUUACAUAUAGAAAAGUUUGUUUUUUUCUGCUUAUAAUGCCGUUUUCUAAAGAUAUUAGUGAACAAAAUCGAUUUGCUAACAAUAUUUAAUAUAUUUUAAAUGUGCUAAAAUUGGAUUCAACAGCAAAAGUCGCAUAAAUAACAUAUAAAUGACGAAUUUGUUUACCUAUUACAAAUGGGGUUAUGUGGUUGUAACUGUUUAUUUUGGGAAUAAAAUGAAAAUGAUCAAUUAAACGACUGGAAAACUAUAGUGAAGUGAAGAACAUCUUGAAGUUCCAAUGAUGUUUCAAGAUGAGAUAAAUCGAAAUAAUGGUUGUAUGUUAGAAGGACAGAGAAUACGAAGAAAUGUUAUUGCUGCAUACUUAGUGUAGUGAAAUACAAACUUCAAACAUUAUAAUAUAUUUUUUUAUUUCAAACAUUUCAUAUGAUUAUGAAAGAACAUCUUCCUCUUUAAAACAAUGAAGAAGUGAAGAACAUAAUAAAGUUCCAACGAAAAUGAUUCCAGAUGAGGAAAAUCGAAAUAAUGGUUGUAUGUUAUGUGUAUAGAGAAUACGAAGAAAUGUUAUUGCUGCAAACUUAGUGUAGUGAAUUAAAAACUUAUUGUCAAAUACAAAUCAAUUUAUUUCAUACUUUUAUAAUAUAUAGUGGUACAAUUUUAUAUGUGUUCAAAUAAAAAUAUUAAUAAAUAAAAUACAAUAAACACAAA